GUUCUGCCUGACGUAGACGCUAGCCUCCGAGGCUAAGCCAUGCAUGCCCGUGACGCAAGGAACGGCGAACGGCUCAGUAAUACUGCGAUGAUCUGCUCCGCGCGAACGAUAACCACGGGAAACUGUGGCUAAGAGCGCGGAUUGAGACGCAGCCCUAUCAGCCUGUUGGUAGUGUAACGGACUACCAAAGCAGCGACGGGUGACGGGAAAUUAGGGUUUGAUUCCGGAGAGGGAGCCUGAGAGAUGGCUCCCACGUCCAAGGACGGCAGCAGGCGCGAAAAUUGCCCACUCUCUCGCGAGGAGGCGGUUACGAGGCGUGACGGAAGGGCGCACUGUAAAGAUGUGCGCGAACGCGAUUGGAGGGCAAGUUCGGUGCCAGCA
rnacentral:rRNA from 1 species